GUCUUUUUGAUUUUAAUUUAAGGUUUAACCUGCCCAUUGAAAUUUUUUAAAAGGCUGCGGUAUUUUGACCGUACAAAGGUAGCAUAAUCAUUAGUUUUUUAAUUGUAAACUUGUAUGAAUGGUUGAAUGAGAAAUUAACUUUUUUAAAAAAAUAAUUGAAUUUUACUUUUUAAUUAAAAGGUUAAAAUAAAUUUAAAAGACGAGAAGACCCUAUAGAGUUUUAUAAUUUUUAUUUAAUAUUUAAAAAGAUAAAUUAAAAUUUUAUAAAAAAAAUUAUUUUAUUGGGGUGAUAAUAAAAUUUGAUAAACUUUUAUUUUUUUUUACAUUAAUAUAUGGUUUUUUGAUCCAUUAUUAAUGAUUAAAAAUUUAAAUUACCUUAGGGAUAACAGCGUAAUUUUUUUUUAAAGUUCAUAUUAAUAAAAAAUUUUGCGACCUCGAUGUUGGAUUAAGAUUUAAUUUUAGGUGCAGCAGUUUAAAUUUUAAGUCUGUUCGACUUUUAAAUUCUA
rnacentral:rRNA from 1 species